rnacentral:tRNA from 1 species
AUUACUUUGGCAGAAUAGUGUGUUAAAUUUAGAAUUUAUUUAUGUAUAGUUAUUAUACAAGUAAUA